CUGCACUCACUGUUUUGUAACAUUGGUCUGUUAGUUUGUGCUUGCCUCAAUAUCAGACCGUCACAUAAGGAAAUCACUGGAAUAGAUGGAAGAAACGGGGUUAAGAAUCUUAUAGUAGUAAUUGAAGAGGAUUGUUUCUGAGUCUUUCUUUGCUUCCUCCUUACUUUUGGAACUUUGUGGAUGGUUCCCAUCCAUGACAAAUCUCUUCCCAUAAAAACAAAGUCAAGCAGGAUGGAGGCAAAAACCUAGAAUGCUAUAGAAAUAAAUCAACCAAACAAUAUUUCAAACAAAUAACAAAACUACUCUAAAAAGGGAUUUCAACAAAGUUUAAAGCAUGGUAACUCCUGGAACACGGUAUGAACCAAUUGAUCAAUUGGAAAACAGUAUUCAAAGUACUCUAUAAUUGAAUAUGUAUGUAGUAGAUGUAGUGUAUAAUGGGAGCCAGGUCCUUCACUAUCAGAGAAGGAAGUUACAACACAUAUGCUUGCAAUAGACUGAAUGUUUGUGUCUUCCUAAAAUUCAUGUUUUGAAACCUAAGCCCUGAUGUGAUGAUAUUAAGGAGGACAUCACCUGGAAGGCAGGCACCUGGUCAAGGCACCUGGUCAUGUGGUUAGAACUCACAUGAAUGGGAUUACUAACCUUAUAAAAGACAGCACAGAGAACUCCCUUGGCCCUUCUGCCAUGACAGAACAUAGCAAAAGGACUCUAUAAACCAGAAGGAAAGCCCUCACCAGAAUUCAACCAUUCUAAAACCCUGAUGUUGGACUUCCUGGUCUCUAGGUUAUGAGAACUAGGUUUCUGUUGUCUAUGAGCCAUUCAAGCUAUGGUGUUCUGUUAUAGCAACUAGAGCAAACUCAGAAAUGUAAGUCUGACCUCUGUCCACUGACUAGGCCUAGAGGUAAUGACAUCCCAAUACAAUAAAUGCAACUAGCAUCUAUAUCUUUGUUUCAAAAAGAAACCAGGGAUACUUAGAUAAAUGGCUUGUGCCAAGGCUCAGGCUUAGAAUGUAAAAGAUGAGGGGCACUUGGGUAGUUGGUUAAACAUCUGCCUUCAGCUCAGGUCAUUACCCUGGUUCCUGGGAUUAAGCACCACAUCAGGAUUCUGACUCUCUGAUCAGAUGGGAGCCUGCUUUUCCCUCUCCCUCUGCUCCUUCCCUCUGCUUGCAUUCUCUCUCUCUCUCUCUUUCUCAUGCUCUCUCUCAAAUAAAUCAAUUCAAUAUUUUUUUUUAAAAGAGAGAGAAUGUAAGAGAUGAACCUGAAAUACCUUAUGUUAGAAAGAAGUGCCAAAAGGAUAAUGGAGGCAUGUCAAAAUGACAUGAUAUUUAGCUGGACAAAUCUUGGAUAAAGUGAGCAUUAACAUUAAUAAUAAUAAAUUAUAAACUAUCAAAUAAGUAAGAAUCCAUUAUACCAUAUUGAUGGAAGGAAGCGAGGUAGGAAAGAAGGAAAGAUGGAAAAUUUCUUUCCAGAGAAAAAAUAGUGUUGAAGAGUAAUGGAAUUAGACAAUCAUCAUUUUGGCCACCAACAUUGUAAUAAUUGAGACAAAAAUCAUCAGUUCCCUGCAAUGCAUAAGUAUUUAAUAUUUUUCUUGAAUGACUUUACACAUGCAAAAAUAACUGUCUUAAUUUUUAUUUUGACAAGAAAAUGUGUUCCUUUUAAUCAAAAUACAUUUGUUAUUGAAAUAAUAUAUUUGAGAUCAAAAAGGGAAUCUUCCUGUAAUCCAUAGACUGUUGGCAUCUAAACUUGUGCUUUGGCUUUCUUUUUUAUAAGCUUCUGUUCCUCAAAAAGAUGAGGGGAAAUAUAGAAAAGUCAGAAAGGAAAAAAAAAUCAGAAAGGAAAUGUAGCUAAUGCUCUCAUGCUGAGAAUCCUAGGAACUCAUUUAUUUUAUAUUUGGAUCAACUUACGGUUUCCAAUAAUUAAGAUUUCUAAUACAAGUUGUUCAUACAAAUGGUUUUCAUCUGGCAACAACUGACUAAAUCUCCUAAUGACAACAACAACAAGUGUGUGUGUGUGUGUGUGUGUGUGUGUGUGUGUGUAAAGUUUCUUUGAAAGCAUUGGAGUAUUACCCCAGUAAUGAAAAAUUAGAAGUCCAAGAUAGAGGAAAAUAGAAAUACCCAGACAGGUGAAACUCGCAGGCCACAUAUCCUCAGAAAUACCCAAUAAGAAAGCAUGGAAUAGAGGCUGAGAAGCUGACCAGCUUUUGAAAGACACAAGAUUCUGAGGGAACAAAAAUUAUAGUUCAGUCCUUAAUGAAGAGUAAGGAUCCUAGCAAAACCAUAGGGAUUAGGUUAGUAACCUAUAAGACAACUUCCUAACAGUAGGGGUAAAUGGAAAUAAACUGAAUUCCAAUGAUGAAUCAUCUCAACAUAUGAUUUGAUAAAG
rnacentral:lncRNA from 1 species